GCCAGACUCCUACGGGAGGCAGCAGUGGGGAAUAUUGGGCAAUGGAGGCAACUCUGACCCAGCAACGCCGCGUGAAUGAAGAAGGCCUUCGGGUUGUAAAGUUCUUUAAUUGGGGACGAAGGAAAUGACGGUACCCAAAGAAUAAGCCACGGCUAACUACGUGCCAGCAGCCGCGGUAAUACGUAGGGGGCAAGCGUUAUCCGGAUUUACUGGGUGUAAAGGGAGCGUAGACGGCAGCGCAAGUCUGGAGUGAAAUGCCGGGGCCCAACCCCGGAACUGCUUUGGAAACUGUGCAGCUCGAGUGCAGGAGAGGUAAGCGGAAUUCCUAGUGUAGCGGUGAAAUGCGUAGAUAUUAGGAGGAACACCAGUGGCGAAGGCGGCUUACUGGACUGUAACUGACGUUGAGGCUCGAAAGCGUGGGGAGCAAACAGGAUUAGAUACCCUAGUAC
rnacentral:rRNA from 1 species